ensembl:lncRNA
CUCCCACCUCCCCUGCCAGUACUUCCUGGGAUCACUUUCCAGAUAAAUGUCUGGCAUUUGAAUCCGAGGCUUGGGUCUGCUUGCAAGGAAACCCCAACUAAGACAACACCUAAUGUGCAACGUGUGUCGAGCGCUUUAUGCCAAGCUCUGUGUUCAACACUUCACACGGCUUGACUCAUUCCAUCCUAUGACAGGCAGGGCUCUGAGGUAGGGACCGUUAUUGUCUCCAUUUCGCGGAUGCAGAAACUGACUCAGAGCUGGGGCUUGAAGCCAAUCGACUCCUCCCUGACCCCAUCCUCCAGCUGGCCUGAAUUGCUUUCAGUUCCUCAAACUGCUCUGCUCACUCUCCUCCUUCCCUCUGCCUUCUGAGGCACAGGGAAGAUAAGUCACUUGGUCACAGCAAGUUAGAACCACUUGGACUCAAGAGGAGACCUCCAGGCUGGAAGCCCUUACACUUCACCCUUGUGACAAAAGAUGAUGUGAUGACAAAGCAGAACAGAAAGAAACUUGAAGAUGCUACGCUGCUCCCUUUGGAGAUGGAAGACAGAGUCUUGGACCAGGAGAUGCAGGAAAAGGCGAGGAAACAUUCUCCCCUGGAGCCUCUAAAAGGAACCAGCACCUUGACUCUAGCCCAGGGAAACUGACUUUGGAUUUCUGGCCUCCAAAACUGAAAGAGAACACAUUGGUGUUGAGCUAAGCCACUGCAUUUAUGGUGGUUUGUUACAGCAGCCACAGGAAAUGAAUGUAAUACUGAAUCAGUUCAUCCCCGACCAUCGGCUCAAUAGCUGUGGUUCAGGACAGCUGACACCUGGCGGGCGCUUCACCAAGCCCUGGGCCAACUGCAACCCAUCCCUGGGGACGCCUGGGGCCGGGAGCACAGAGAAGGAUCAGGGAAGACCCCCUGGGCUUGAGUGCACUUCAGCAUAGGCUGGGAGGAAAGGGCAAGGAAUGCUGCCGAACAAGGAGCAAGCGAGUGCAGACGCCAGGAGCAUGGGAUGAAGAUUUUCUGGAUACUGACGUGAUGAUGAACAUGAUGACAGCUACCGCUCCCUGAUCACCUGCUGUGCUCAGUCCUCAUUACCUACCCGAUUUUCCUCAGUUUCCCUACUUGUAAAAUGGGGCUGAUAAUAACACUUCGAGCAUCAAGCUCAAAGUGUUCUUGAGAAGAUUAAAAAACUAAGCCCCAGGGCUUCCCUGGUGGGUCAGUGGUGAAGAAUCUGCCUGCCAAAGCGGGGGACACAGGUUUGAUCCCUGAUCUGGGGAGAUCCCACAUGGAGGAGCUGCUACGCCCGUCAGCCACAACUAUUGAGCCUGUGCUCCAGAGCCUGGGAGCUCCAACUACUGAGCCUUAUGUGCAGCAACUACUGAAACCCACACACCCAGAGCCUGUGCUCUGCAGCAAGAGAAACCACCACACUGAGAAGCUACUGCAAAGAGAAGUCCGUGCACUGCAACCAGAGAGUAGCCCCCAGCUCUCCGCAGAUAGAGGAAAGCCCGGGCAGCAACAAAGACCGAACACAGCCCCCCACCCAAAAAAGGUGUGGACAUUGGUGUAAAAUUACAACUGAGGAGGCCCCCACCCUAGCAGAGAGGUGCAUCUGGUGAGAAUGGAAGUUCACCUUGAGUCUGAGUAAACUCCGGGAGUUGGUGAUGGACAGGGAGGCCUGGUGUGCUGCGAUUCAUGGGGUCGCGAAGAGUCGGACACGACUGAGGGACUGAAGUGAAUGAUAAGAAGGCUGAUAGCCCUUCAGUUAG